rnacentral:rRNA from 1 species
GACGAACGCUGGCGGCGUGCUUAACACAUGCAAGUCGAGCGGAGCGGCGAACGGGUGAGUAACGCGUGAGUAACUGCCCCCCUCUCUGGGAUAACAGUUGGAAACGGCUGCUAAUACCGGAUAGUGGGGGAUGACUCGCGUCCUAUCAGCUUGUUGGUGGGGUAGUGGCCUACCAAGGCGACGACGGGUAGCCGGCCGGAGGGGGGGACCGGCCCCAUGGGGCUAAGAGACGGCGCAGACGCCAACGGGGGGCAGCGGUGGCGAAUAUUGCACAAUGGGGCCAACCCUGUGGCAGCAACGCCGCGUGCGGGAUGUCGGCUUUCGGGGUGAAAACCGGUUUCGGCCAUGACGCGGUAGUGGCAGAAGAAGCACCGGCUAACUACGUGCCAGCAGCCGCGGUAAUUC